GUUUUAGGGAUCGUCGGAGGUAAGGGUUUAGCCCGGACCGUGUAGAGAGGAAGGGAGUCGGAGGAAGAGGUGGAGGCCGGCGGCGGCUCGGUCCGGCCGCACCGCCGCGCGGUGGUUCGUGAAGGUGGGCGCGGUGCUGCGGCGGCGGAGCGGUGGAACGCGGCGGAGGGUAGGUAGAGGGACGACAAGGAGGUGGACAGAAGAAGGGAGCGGAGAUCGACGACGAGGAUAAGAAGAGAAUUAGGGGGCGACGACGAAGAAGAAAGAGAUUUGGGGAGAACGACUACGGGAGAGGAGUGUGGGCGACGACGAAGAAGAGGAACCAGGAUGACGACGAGGAGAGAGGGACUACGGGGAUGAAGAAGAGACUUAGGGGAUUACGACGACGAGCAGAGGUUGACUUGGACGAGAGAGAGAGAGAGAGACUUUAAAGAUAUUUGAAUUCUUCACAUGACAAGUCUUAACACAUUACAAGGCUAAAAUAUUUACGAACGUUAGACACUUGCUAAGUAAAAGUAUGAAUAUUUAUAACACAGUGUAUAACACGCAAGAGUGAUCAACUUCACAAGAACAAGACAUAAGCACCAGUCAGUUAGCGGUAUAUACAAUAGAUUGGAACACUUAAACAAGAUCAAACUUCAAAUACACAAAUGAGUUCAUGAACACUAUGUUUUUAUACACACACUCGAACACAACACUUUGUAAAUAUAAGUCGGUAUAUUGGCACUAACAAGGGAGACAAGUACAAACUAUCAAUAUAUACACAGGAACAGUACAAUACAAGUACAGAAAAGUGAAGAGAACAGUAACUACAUACGAGCAUAAUCAUAAAAUUGAAGAAUUCGUAAUGCUUUUAUGGUUUUUCUGUUACUCAUUUAAAACUUAGAGGGACACGAAAAACGUAAAAGAAACAGCUGCUAGAAACCCUUGCUGGAACAAUCAAAUCCAAAAUAAAAGUCGUAAGCAGAGAAUGUUAACACAAUGGAUCUAAAUCGGCUCGUAUCAGCAGCAGCGGAUCAGGGACACCCCUUGUGCUGUGAGUGUCAAACCCGCUUUAUAGGGCGACAUGAAUGUUAACUAGUAAAACCGCGGCAACGGCCCCUGAUCGCAGCUCGCUAAUACAACCGAUAUCUGAUCCAAAUAAAAUCAAGGCACAAAUUAAGCAGCACAUAAAUUAAACAACACAAAGAAAAUAUAUAAAAAAGGAACGACAACGAAACCGAAUAAUCCUAUGAUUGUAAGAUUGAUCAUAAAUGACAAACUCACACGCAUCCUUUAGACUUGAUAAAUGUCCAACUAACUAUCAAUGUGAACCACCUCUAUACCGCUACGAAGCACUACAAACCUACGGUUCGUCGGUUACGAUAAGGUGUCCCGGUGAAACCGGUAGAAAACUCCGCCUUUUAAAACUCGAUUUCGGACCAGAAUAACGAAACCAAGUUGUUGUUGUCAAACCUCCUGACGGAUGACUCCUAGGGUUACUCGUGAAUGUGGCUCAGUACCUCAUAAGUCUAUGUCAGUUCAUGGUACCUCAAGGAGUUCUACGUUAGUACACGUCCAACAAGUGUAAGAGAGAGGCACUACUACGAGCACGAACCAUAGCUAGGAACGGUAGUUCCAAUAUGUCAACCUUACUCUAUAGUGCUCGAAAGAACCUAUUUAUAAAGAGUGAUGUGUUCGUCAGGCGUUAAGCUCUACUGUAGAAGUUAAAGUAAGUCGCACUUCCGCUCUCGCACAUACUACGAACCCUCUCUAUGUUUCGGAAUAAGUCCUCUACAGGAUUGGUGCCCGAGCUCUCUACCAAUCUCGACGUCUAUAAGAUAUCUCCUAACUGAAGCCUGUGAGCUCGAAUGCAGCUAUACCGUCGCCCACCUCGUUUGUUCUGUGAACUACUACGAAAAGACGACUAACUCUUGUAUCGGAAGGUGGUUGAAGUCACCAUGUUACUCUUCGGGUGGAGACCAGAUCAACGAACGAACGUUGUUAAGUGAAGUAGCGUCGUUCUUACAGAAUGUGUUUUCGGCCUUGGUCAAAGAGACACACUGUUCUAACUCGAAAGUACCUAAUAGAAACUACUACUACUAUGGUAGGAUCAACUGUGUGUGUGAAGUCUAGUAUACCUAUGAUCGUAAGCUCUAAAUCAAAACGUAACACUACUAAGAAGGUACCUACUCGGUCUCGACGUCAAUCAACAAAAAAUAUAACUCCUCAGUGGAAAUCAACUAUAACUAGUACACGACGAUCUCGGUCUAUACCUCUUCAAGUCGAAGUUACUACAAUCGGCGUAACUAAGGAGUUGUGAACUCGGAUUCUACCUUUCGAAGUACCAAUUAAUACUACUCCACCUAAGUCUACAGUUCCUCGGUUCGAGAUGAUAAAGUGAACAACUGUGCUCAGGCCACCUUUAAAGAUGUUAGUGUGGAGUGAACCAUAGAAGUUAACUCCAUCAGGACUUCAAAGAAGGAUUGAUAGAGUCCAUAAUAGAGUCGAAAGACCUAUUCAAUACAGUAUAGCGACUAUAACGGAUACGUGGUACACUGAACAACAACUAUGUACAAGGACUAAACGAGUUAUCUAUAUGAAUAUACUAUCCCAUGAGCUAGCUACUGAAUCUCCCGUAAGAGAGACAGUGAACAUAACCGAACCAACAACUCACAAGAAAGUCCAACUACGAACACGUGGUAAAUGACGCUCAACUGGCUCAAGCUCUACUGUAAGGGACCCUAGGAUCACCUAGGUGCCGUACCACUACUCCUCUUCGUUACCCGUGUGCGCUUCUUCUCACUUCGACCUCGUCCGUACUCCUAUCUCUUCGUUUUUCUCUUCUCGUCGUCGAAUCUCUCACUAGUUCGCUCACGAUGAAGUAUCACGGGCCACUCGACAAAGUACUGGUUAAAGCUCAUAUAGUACGACUUUAGUUUACAAUAAACCCAAUGAAUAGGGUAAAGAAUUUACAACGGGGUGACUUAAAAUAAACUGUAUACCACGAACUACUCUUAUACGCUUGACUAACAACUUACGGUACAUUUGAUCACUAGAUGUAUAACGAACGAAACGACUUUAAUCACUUUCGAUAAUCAAAACUCACGAGUUUAGGGAUCAUCUGAUCUUUUGAAUUAAUAAAAGACGAGAAUGGAACUAUGUGGAUCUAGUAAUUCAAAGUCUACAACUCAAACACGGAUUACACAAGGGUAAGUCUCGUUAGUGAGCGGUGAUACCUGAUCGUACGAUACAAGGGACCUAGCUAUCAUACACUUGGUCUGGACCUACUCACUACUAAGAACAAAGGAAAAACAUAAGUAAACAAUUUAUUCAUUAUUACUUAUUUAUUAAUAGACUAGAUGGAUUGUCAUCGUACAGUACAAGGGACCUAGCCACCGAACACUUUAGACCAACCUAGCCUAUCCACAAUUAAUAUAAUUUUUUACAUUAACAGCUUGGUCCACAUAUGGUACAAGAGCCCUAACCACCAUACAAGGAAACCCCUCUGUUUGAUUUUUUUGAUAAUUAACCAGCUCGGUCCACAUAUGGUACAAGAGCCCUAGCCACCAUACAAGGAAACCACUCUGACUAUUUUAUAAUAGUAAUGAAGGAAGUUUAAAUUAUUCACCAAGUUGGUGUUACAAUAUAAAGACGUUUAUUCACUAAAUUAAGUUCGAGGAAAACAAGAGUCCUAGUACGAGAGAAAUCCUUGGAAAACCGUGUCAGUCGUAAACUUGAACGAUUAGAAGCAAAUAGUAACGUUUUCAAAUUUUACCAGCUCAAAUGAUCACAGGAUAACUAUACAUCUUUGAGAGUUGGUAAUUAAAAGUGAUCGUUUCAGGUUUCGUACGUGACAAAUCUCUAGAUGAAGUGAACUGUAAGAGAUCAGUCAAGUGACAGGUACAAGAACGAGAAUAGUAUACGGAAACGAACUCCUGUUCGUUUCUAAAUUCACACCCCCUUGAACUAUUCGUGUAAAGUAUAUGUAUUAAACCCGUGUGUUUAAGUGGUAAAUAACUGUUUACAGUUAGCAAAGAACGGAUCUUAAUAGCUUAUAAGUUUACUAUAAGUGUUUUCUCCAGCACUGAUAAACAAACAAAGAAAACGUCUUUUCACGCUGUUCCGUGAUAUUAGAUCUUCAAAGACAGAUCUUUCUUAACUCCUUGUUCUAGUGCCCGUUCUUCUCUUCUUUCUCCCUGAGUUCGAACUUCUUCUAGUUUCGAAUCCCCCCGAUCGAAUUCUUCACCUCCCUAGUAGAACACGGUUUCCUUCCUUCUUCCUCCCGGUUUCACUUUUGCAAGUCUAGACUAGCCUCCCCUAGUUUUAGGGAUCGUCGGAGGUAAGGGUUUAGUCCGGACCGUGUAGAGAGGAAGGGAGUCGGAGGAAGAGGUGGAGGCCGGCGGCGGCUCGGUCCGGCCGCACCGCCGUGCGGUGGUUCGUGAAGGUGGGCGCGGUGCUGCGGCGGCGGAGUGGUGGAACGCGGCGGAGGGUAGGUAGAGGGGCGACGAGGAGGUGGCGGGAAGAAGGGAGCGAAGAUCGACGACGAGGAUAAGAAGAGACUUAGGGGCGACGACGAAGAAGAAAGAGAUUUGGGGAGAACAACUUCGGGAGAGGAGUGUGGGUGACGACGAAGAAGAGGAACCAGGAUGACGAGGAGGAGAGAGGGACUACGGGGAUGAAGAAGAGACUUAGGGGAUGACGACGACGAGCAGAGGUUGACUUGGACGACAGAGAGAGAGAGAGAGAGAGAGAGAGAGAGAGACUUUAAAGAUAUUUGAAUUCUUCACAUGACAAGUCUUAACACAUUACAAGGCUAAAAUAUUUACGAACGUUAGACACUU
rnacentral:rRNA from 1 species